rnacentral:precursor_RNA from 8 species
AAGACAUCUCUUUCAUUGCUCUUUGCCCCGUAUGGCUUUUUAUUCCUAUCUGAGAAUUGCUCAGGACUCAUAUAGGGAUGGAAGCCAUGCAGGGCUGGGGGACUGUGUCAUCAUGGAGACU